rnacentral:rRNA from 1 species
GUGGCGGGGCGCAGCUGAUCAGCAUGCCGCGUGCAGGAUGAAGGCCUUCGGGUUGUAAACUGCUUUUGUACGGAACGAAAAGCCCUGGGUUAAUACCCUGGGGUCAUGACGGUACCGUAAGAAUAAGCACCGGCUAACUACGUGCCAGCAGCCGCGGUAAU